GCCCGGGUGGCGGAAUUGGUAGACGCGCCAGAUUUAGGAUCUGGUGUCCUAUGGACGUGGGGGUUCGAUUCCCCCCCCGGGCA
rnacentral:tRNA from 1 species